rfam:Leadbetterella byssophila DSM 17132, complete genome.
GGGGCCGACCGGUUUUGACGGCAUGAUGCCAUUGCGAGUAUAAGCAUGUAUGGAGUUGGUGGAAGGUCUCCAUUCAAAAAAUCUACCGAACAAUAACUGGCAACACUUCGUAUGCCAUGGCUGCCUAAUUUCGGAGUAAAUUACGCAUAAGCCACAUUCCUCCCGGGCCAACCUCUGCCGCUAGGGACUCAGGGAUGUCGAUCAUGCAGAGGCGUAUGGAGACGGGCUUCUGAUCUCUAUAUAGUAUUUGAGGAGAUAAGGAUUAGAUGAGGUAUGCCGAACGGCUUUCUAAUCUCGAAAAUCAAGAUCGGCUAAACAUGUAGAAGGCUUGACAGUAGCCGUGUUCGGACCAGGGUUCGACUCCCUGCGGCUCCACAU